CUAGCAAUUCCAUUUACGCUUCAAAAAAUCAUAAAAAAAAAGAGAUGUUCAUUUGUGGAGAUUAUCUUGCUGAACAAAACGUGUAAGUAUCACAAAAACGUUUGUUUGCCACCGAGCUUAUUUUCUGUAAUAAUACAAAACCCGAUGGAAAAAUCCUAUUGGACUUUUAGUUGAGGGAACCAGUGUGAUUCUAACUUCCUGAUUGGCCUACAAAAGUACGUCAUCCCUGCAGCACUCUGUUUA